GACUUCGUAGCUCAGCUGGUAGAGCGUUUUGCCGCGUAGAGGCAUGUUUUUUCCGUAGCUGGUUCGAAUCCAGCCGAAGCCC